GAUGAACGUUGGCGGCGUGCCUAAUACAUGCAAGUCGAACGAAGACUGUAGUAAUACUGUCUUAGUGGCGAACGGGUGAGUAACGCGUGGGUGACCUGCCCCGAAGUGUGGGAUAACAGUUCGAAAGGAUUGCUAAUACUGCAUAAUAUCCAAGAAAUUAGACGCUUUUGGAUUAAAGGAGUAAUUCGCUUCGGGAGGGGCCCGCGUCCCAUCAGCUAGUUGGUAAGGUAAUGGCUUACCAAGGCGAUGACGGGUAGGGGACCUGAGAGGGUGGCCCCCACAAUGGAACUGAAACACGGUCCAUACACCUACGGGUGGCAGCAGUAGGGAAUAUUAGUAAUGGGCGAAAGCCUGAACUAGCAACGCCGCGUGUGCGAAGAAGGCCUUCGGUUGUAAAGCACUUUUGUAGAGGAUGAGGAAGGACGGUACGUCUCAGAAUAAGUACUCGGCUAACUACGUGCCAGCAGCCGCGGUAAACGUCUACUG
rnacentral:rRNA from 1 species